rnacentral:rRNA from 1 species
UACAGAGGGUGCGAGCGUUGUUCGGAAUUAUUGGGCGUAAAGGGCGCGUAGGCGGUGCGGUAAGUCACCUGUGAAACCUCUGGGCUUAACUCAGAGCCUGCAGGCGAAAACUACCGUGCUGGAGUGUGGGAGAGGUGCGUGGAAUUCCCGGUGUAGCGGUGAAAUGCGUAGAUAUCGGGGAGGAACACCUGUGGCGAAAGCGGGUAGCUGGGCCGACACUGACGCUGAGGCGCGAAAGCCAGGGGAGCGAACGGG